GAAUAUUAGUCAAUGCUCGAAAGAGUGAACUAGCUAACUGAAAUCAAUUAAAAAUUGAUAACAUAAGGGAAAAUAAUGAUAUUACCUUAUUAUAAGUGUCGUCCAAAUCUGGUGCCAGAAGACUCGGUAAGGCCAGAGACACAAACGUUAUUCGUCUUAAUCAGGCGUAAAGGGUUUGUAGGCAGCUUUUAAAUUAAAAAAAAAAUAAGAAUAAAAGCUAGAAUCAAAUAGAGGAUAUAUCAAAUAAUGCUUAGAGUAGGUCUGAUAUUCUUAGAUACUAAGUAGAAUAUUAAAGGCGAAAGCUUUUUUCCAUUAAUGAUUGACGCUCAGAAACGAAGGUGAGGAUAGGGAAUAGGAUUAGAUACCCAAAAUACCCCUCUCUGUCAACGAUGAAUGGUAGUUAUUAGUAAUAAAUUUAUUAAUGGCAAUGUUAACACGAUAACCAUUCCGCCUUGUGAGUACAACUGCAAAGUUGAAAACAAAAAAAUUAGUCGGUUUCGGAGCAAACGAAGUGAAGCAUGUUAUUUAAUUC
rnacentral:rRNA from 1 species